GCCAACGUAGCUCAGUAGGUUAGAGCGCAUCCUUGGUAAGGAUGAGGUCACCGGUUCGACUCCGGUCGUUGGCUC
rnacentral:tRNA from 1 species